CUCUCCAGUUGAACAAUUCCACCAUCCAGUUUGUUUUCCUUGUGAUUUCUCUGCUAGGUUUGUGGUUUCGAAUCCGUUGAUCGUCGCUGUUGAGAAUUUGAGUUCGGCCCGGAGAUUAUCCGUUUGAGGUUUUUUGAUUUGAGAUUCAGUUUUGUAAUUAGAAUUGGUGUUUCUCUCCUUUGAGGCUGCAGAGAUCGUUGUUUGUUGAUAUGUCGGUUUUUGGUAUUUAUUUACAUGAUUCUCGUUUGUAGUAUUUUGUGAAGAUGAGGUGAUGCCUUCUUUUCCGAAGUCGCAGUUUGUCCGGUAGCGAUCGGUUUGGUUUUGAUUUCAACUAAUCUGUUAGAGAAGAGUCUCACUCGCUUCCAGUACCUUCUGGCUCCGUAUCGUUGCUUUCUUUCCUUCAAUUGGUAAUUUAUUUGGAAUAUGUGAUAUGGAAUGCAGGCUGGGGGUUCUUUGGAGUUUCUUUUUCUGGUGUGAGGUUCGGUUUGCAAUUAGUUCUGUUUUCUUCUUCUUUGUUGAUUGUUUAUUGGUCAGACGUUUCCAUUGUUUGAUCAGGUCUGAGUAAUGAUUGUAGGAGAAUGAUUAGGGGCUUCAGAUGGAGUUGAUGAUGAUUAUAGUGACUUCCGGUGGGUGAUUUCUUCACAUGGAUUGCAGUUAAUACCUUCAGCCUAAUAAUAGCCAUGGUAUCUCACCCACUAACUACUUAAUAAAUAGCCUGCCUUUGAGGAUUGUAACCUCGUGGUUUCUCAAUGUUCUUAUUUCUUCCCUUCCCUGUUUCAACUUUCACGAGCCCUUUUAAAUUAUAAAAAAAAAAAAUUGUUUUCGAUUGAAAUUUCUUUUGUUUCCAAUGUUCAACAUUUAUGAUGACAACAUUGACAGCCGAUAAGAAGUUUCGUCUUUAUUUUAUUUGAUGUCAUUAAACCUGCUAUCCUAUCAUGCUAUUGCUUCUGGUUUUUCGGAUUUUGCAAUCCUUCAACUUUGUGUUGGUGAGAUCCAUUCUAGAUGCAAUUUUUGGGGAAUCAACAUGCUAUCAGGUUUUGGACGAUUCUGAUGCUGUGAGAUUCCUCUAUGUAAUUAAGUACUCUCUUUUUUUCCAUGGAUGGUAUUUGGAGUUAUAAGUUUGUGUUUCUGAUUUACGUGAGCUCCUCCUCCUGUUUUGAAAGGUGUGCUGGUGUACGCUGAUUUGCCACACUAUCUGAGCUAGUAAUCCCCUGGAUUCUCAGAGCAAUUUCACUCCCAUGCUGAUUUUGCAAUUUCAGAUAAAUGAUUCCGUGAUCUAUUCUAGUGCUGUGUUAGAAGUAGGGGACAACCACAUCAUGGGGACUACUGCUUGGGAUAUGAUUUCUCUACUUUCAUCUUAUAUGCUAUUUCGAUGCCAAUAUCCUUUUAUUCCUCGCAUCAACUUCUUUUACCUUGACUUCUUCAAUGCUUUUUUUGGUCUGGUCAUCGGUGGAUUCCGUACCUAGAUGUGGUGUCAGUUGUCAAGGAUACAUAGAAGAUUUGGUCCGUUGUCUCUACAGGCAUAAGUGUCUUACUUUGGUGUUUGUGUGGGGAGGAUGCAGAGCAGGUUCCCCGUUUGACUAUAGGUAUUGCAUAUUUCGUGUGUUCGAGCUUUGUCAAGAUUUCUGUUAAGUGGAAGGUCCCAGCUACAAUAAUUCUUGCCAGUGUGUAUGGUAUAUUCUGCUGCCAUUAGUUUUGAAUCCAGAUGCUUGGAUCUUCCAUGAUCCAAUGGACGGAUGGAUGUGUAGAGACCACAUGGUGAAAUUGCAAAGAUCGAUUGUAUGCACACUGGGCACAUUUUUUCUUGGUCCUAUUUUGUGCUUGCACUGUAAUCCGGUUAUUGUCAGGCCUUGAAAAGAGGGGGCACUUCCAAUCUCAUCUCUGGAAUAUCUAGUGAUUUCGUAGUUAGUGUGGGUUUUGCCAACUUUGCACUUAACUGUUGCCUUUUUCCUAUGCUUGCAGCUGUGGGUAGUCUACGAGCAGUGAAUGCUUCUUUCGUGGAGCGAUUGUUUGGUUUUAAAUUGCCGGCUAUCUGUUACUAUAUGACUCACUCACUACCAGCACCUUCUAUCAUCGUGUCGUUGCUUUCCUAUGAUUGGUAGUUUAUAUAUUUUAGUUUAUUUUGUCUUGAUUUUCUGUAGGUUUCUGAUGUGCCUUUCUUUGUUAGUCUCUGUUGAGAAGUUGAGCAUGGAC
rnacentral:lncRNA from 1 species